ensembl:lncRNA
CUUUUAAAUGGCAGAGGUAGAAAAAAGCCUUAAAGAGGAAAGAAAAUCAAGUCAAGCAAAAAUUCUCGUGUUCGAUGCCAGAAUUCAUAAUUAUAUUUCAGCCUACAGAGUUCUAGAAUCCCUGCAUACCUAACUUCCUACCACAAAAGAAGUCAUUGUCAUUGACUGCUUCACUAAAAAUGUCAGGGCCACCUCUUAGCGUGCCCCUUCCAAAGUGUGAUUUGUGUUGGACACUUGUGAAGAGUAGAUCUAAGAAACUCCCUGCCUUCCUAAUGUGUCUCUAAAAUAUGCCAGUUUUGUGAAUGUGCCUCUAAUAUUGAGACUCUGAGCCAAAGAAAAAAGGCACUUCAUACUUACUGUCCAGUUUCAGCUCAUUCCCGAAGUACCCAUGGAAGAUGUUAGAGGAUAAACUACCAGAUAUGACCACUGAAUGUACAGAGAAAUAUCCAGGCUUUGGGCCCUGCUCUUUCCACUCUUGAUUUCCUCAAAGGAGCUCAUAGCUAUAAUUGCCUUGAUUUCAGAGGACACUUUGGAUUUCAACUUUUUAGCAGUGCUGGAAUAGCUGGAAUUCGUUUCUGCAGCUUGCAACCAAGAGUGUUCACUAAUAUACAAUGUGUCUUUACAUGAGCAUCCUGGGGCUGCCACUAGUAUAUGAACCAUCAAUAGUUUUACAAGUGUAAAGGAUCAGGAACCAGAAGUAACACAGUCUUUCAGGCACCAGAUGAGUAGGCGAUGCCAGGAGAAAAAAGGUGGGAAGAGACUUUGAGAAGACUUAGAGGAAGGAGAAAGUCCACAGCAUUUGUUAAGGGAACCUGGCCCUAUGUUUUCCUGGGAAUUUCUACUGGAGUACUACUUCUGGCUUCUUGUACCAUUGUUUGUCUUACUCAAGAGUUAGUUGACCAGUGAACUUAGUUAUAUUCAUUAGCUCAAAGUUCUUGACUGAGUCGAGCUAAUCUAGCAAAAAAUCCCUAAUUACUGUGAUUCAUUCUCUUUUUUCCGUUUCUGACCUAGACUUGGGUAGACAUACUUGGGUAAACGUGUUUGCUCUGUAGGCCAGUGUUCCCCUUUUGGUGGCCUAUUCUCAGGGUAGAUUCUUUAGGGGUUGAGAGUGAGCAGAAUGUUGCCAACCCCUUUGGGUUAUAUAGAUCAAGAACCCUUUAUUAGCCUAUCUGUAAUAAAGUUGAC